GAUGAACGCUGGCGGCGUGCCUAAUACAUGCAAGUCGAGCGAACAGACGAGGAGCUUGCUCCUCUGACGUUAGCGGCGGACGGGUGAGUAACACGUGGAUAACCUACCUAUAAGACUGGGAUAACUUCGGGAAACCGGAGCUAAUACCGGAUAAUAUAUUGAACCGCAUGGUUCAAUAGUGAAAGACGGUUUUGCUGUCACUUAUAGAUGGAUCCGCGCCGCAUUAGCUAGUUGGUAAGGUAACGGCUUACCAAGGCAACGAUGCGUAGCCGACCUGAGAGGGUGAUCGGCCCCCCUGGAACUGAGACACGGUCCAGACUCCUACGGGAGGCAGCAGUAGGGAAUCUUCCGCAAUGGGCGAAAGCCUGACGGAGCAACGCCGCGUGAGUGAUGAAGGUCUUCGGAUCGUAAACCUCUGUUAUUAGGGAAGAACAAAUGUGUAAGUAACUAUGCACGUCUUGACGGUACCUAAUCAGAAAGCCACGGCUAACUACGUG
rnacentral:rRNA from 1 species